rnacentral:lncRNA from 1 species
AACCGCGAAUGCUGCCGCGCCGUUAUUAGACCUGACGACCCGACCGACCGACGUGCAGUAUCAGUCGAACGCUUUGCUCUGUCACGUGUAGGGCUUUCGCAUCAGUGUCUGUGUAAGUUUUGUUCGGAUUUUCUCGUGUUCGUGUCCGAUCGUUAUCUUCAUAUAAGCCGUUCGCCUCAACAGAAUAUUAUUAUUUUAAUAAUAAUAUUAUGUACACGUCGUGAGUGGUUUGGAACAUUAACCGUUAACCGACGUCAACCGUGCGAGGAAAUCAACGAACGGACGAAAUACUAAAUAUACUAUUGUUAACUAUCCGCUAAAAUAACGAGCAAACCAGAUGCAUUUCAUAAACGACGUGACCAAGUUCGUCUGCAGCAGUCUCCGGAACGAAUCGACCAGGUUCAGGGUGAGUCGCGUUGACAGCCGUUUUAUAAUAUUGUAAUUUUAACGCAGUUUUUGCAAAAAUUUAAAAAAAUAUUUAUCGACGUAAAUUAAAUUUUUCGUGUACAAUAUUACAAGUAGCAAUAUUAUUAUCAUAAGUAUUCACAAAAUCUGAAAAAGUUCACAACGAUUUUAGAGGUAAAAGGAUAAAACGCCAUGAUAUUGUAACAUUAUUUUUAAUAACCUUGUCGUCGAGUUCUCAAAAAAAUAUAUGUAUGUAUACGAAAAACUGUAUUUACAAUUUUUUGUAGUAACAUACUCAGUGGCGUUUUCGGGAAUUUCGUACGGAGGUAUGACGAUGGCGACGAUGACGUCCUCAGAAAAUAUCGAAAAAUCUAAACAGCAAGGUCUAAAAUCGGUAUUCCAGCGAUGUCGUGUAGGUAUUCUGUAGCUUUUUUCGUAUUGUGAUUGGUCUUAGUAAUCUCGGUAUAACAUUCAGUAGGUAACUAAGAUGUAUCACGGGAAAUUUCCAGAAUCUAGCUGAAUUCGUCUUUUUUCUCGUUCGGGUUACAGUAUGGUCAGUUGAUUUUUUGGUGUUAUCUGCGCAUUAGCUAUGUUCGUUUAAAAACAAAAUAUGUUAAAUUUUGAUAAGGAAUACACAAGACAAAUUAUUAUAUGUGUCGAAUCUACACAACAGUUGAAAAUUUACGUAAAAUUGUGUAGGUGUACUUUUUGUUAAAAUGAACGAAACUAAUAGAAACAUAAUGGAAUUUAAACUUUUUUCGUUACAUUUCGCUGCAUCGCGACAAUCGAGGGUCGCUUAAACCGAUCAAUAAUAGCGCGAGGGACUCAAUGGAGUAAUUAGGACCUUUCUUUGAGGGGUGAAUAUAAAUAUUUGUCAAAAAUAUUAAGAGAAAAUCAUAACCAAUACCUGUAUAUACCAUAUCACCAUAGGUGCAAAUCGCGUUUGAGAUUUUAGGGAACUGAAGUCAUGACUCUAGACCAGAACUGAGGUGUUUAUUACAAAAGUAUUCAUCUCUUAAACAAUUUUUACUCGUUACGCUCGAUAUCGAAUAUAUUACACUUUUACCUAAUUUCAGUAUAAACAAACAACAAAAUUUAGGUGCCUACUACACAUUUUACGAAUGCAAUAUUUCAACUAUAAUCUAUAAUAAAACAUGUUUGUGGGGGACCAUUAACUUUUUUGGAGAAAUUAAGCACCCAAAGUCUUCUCUUAUUUAUGCUUAUGUAUAUCACACAAUCUUAUUAACAUUUAACAUUAAUAAUAAAUAAAUAUUGAUAUAAUAUACAGUUUUUCACAUUUGAUUUUAUGUAUUAUGUAUAUGCCACAAGUUAUUAGAAAAAAGGAAAAAGAAAGAGCUGAUACUGGGGAUGGGAGCGGCCACUGUUGUAGAUAAGAAGUUGGGAAGGUAGGACACAUAAGGUUAUUUCAUUUAUAUCUGUAAGCAACGAUAAACUAUUGCUUGAUGAAAUACUAUUCGUGCCCAGCUCGGUAAUACAUAAUAUGAAUUACCGUAAUUUUUUGCGAUUUUCGAUUAAAUUUGAUUUCAAAACGCUUAUUAAAAAAAAAAAAAAAAAUCGUCUGAUGAUUGUGGAAAUUUUACCGCGUCUAGGUAAUUCCAAUAUAAGUAUUAUUACCAAUUUUCAAGUUUCUACGUGUAUUUAUUACCGAAUUACAACAAAAAAAAUCCCGAAAAUUCAAAUUUUUUAAAAGCUCAAAAGUGGCUUAAAAGACUUUGAUUAAUUUUUUUUUUUGGUAGAAAACCUCGUCCUUGUUUUUAUAAAAUAAUAAAAUCUUGAAAUUAUACGUUUUCCUACGUUUUUAUCCUAUUUAAGUGCUUUUAUUUGAAAAAUGGCGUCGAAAAUCAAAAAAUGAUCUAUAAAAAGCACCAUCUAGACAACUUAGGCCUUCAUAAAAGUUGUUACACGUAAAAAUCGGAGUAAGUUUAUUAGGAAAAAGCGUGUCCACAGACUAAAAGAAAGAAAGAAAGAAAUAAUAAAAAAAUAAACAUCUUAGUAUAACCAAUAGUUCCCUCGCUACUCUCGGAAUCUAAAACUGGUCAAAUGGUCUGGUUUCUUGACUUCUUUGGAAUUGAUGUACCAUUCACGUCACCCCUUUGAGUAAUCCACUGGUGGUUAUAUAACUUACUAUCCUGUGCUCGGUGUUCUCCGGAUAUUUAUCGUUGCAAACGAGGUUUUUUCCCCCGAUCUACGUAUUUUUCCAACGGUUAGUUUAUCACAGUGGAUUGUGUGCAAGUAUUCUUUGACCGCACAAAACAUGAUUAUCGAGUCUCUCUUACCCGAUGAUAACGAAUGAUAAAGAAAAACCUAUAGAUUCGCAUACCUAUAUGUAGGUUCCAUUCAGACCUUGGCUCCGGGUAAUUUGAAUAGAGAACGUGUUUUUCGCAGCAGUCGUCGCCUUAAUAUUUUGUAAUAUUAUUAUGAUUAUUAUGCAAAAUAUUCGUCUCGAAUGAAAGUAUAUAGAUAUAUGUUUUUGUUCACUUAAUAUUGUAAAUAUUAUGGUUCGGAAUUAUGCUCAGAUAUUUUUUGAAUCUGCAGGUUACACUUUUAUCCGUCAGGUUAGGUUAUAUGGUAAAUCGAUUUAAUAUUAUUUUUAAUGUUCUAGGUUUGUAGUAGUAGUACUACUACGAGAAGAAAUAAUAAUAGCCAACUAUUUUAAAAGCUGAUUGGAUAACUAUUUUUAUACACGUCUGGUUUAUCUUAUGCAAAUAAUACGUUAUUACUGUAUUAUAUUCAACACGUAUCGUCUGUUUUCACAUCGCACGUUUUCGGGUCAUUUUCCGUUUUGUCGAUAACGAUUAUUGUAAUCAUAAUAAACUUUCACAAUAAAAUUUUUAAUCUACAACGGCAAAUUUUGACUACAAUAACAUACUAGGUAUAACAAGGUACAUAGGCGUACUCAAGGGGGGAGUUAUGGGGUUUAUUCUCCCCUCAUUAGCCUUUUUUUUUACAAUCAAUUUGUUUGAAAUUUGUGAGGGAUGUGAAAAUUUAUUGCCUCAUUGUAUAGAUUAUAUUUACAAUUACAAUAUAAAUAUAUUUGUUGCACCAAAAAAUGAUUGAUAAAUUAUUAAAAAUAAAAAGUGCAUUAAAUUUUGUAGUGUUUUUGUUUUAGAUUCUGAGUGUAGUGAAGAAUGUAUUAAUUUUACUAAGAUGUUUCUUUUUUUUCCCUUUUUUUUUAUACUGUGUACAAAAAUUCUACUAGAAAUCUUGCUCAGCUGUAUACGAUAUAGACUCUUUUCUGAAAGUCAAUUUUCUUAGGGUAUUUUUUUGAUUUUCGCAGCAGUUUUCCAAAUAAAACCGUAAAAGUGGGAAAAAACUAAGAAAAACGGGAAAUUUACGAAAAUAAUGCUUUGAAUAUUUUUACGAUUUUGUUAUUUGUUGUAAUUCAGUUAAAAGUGUUCCUAGGGACAUUGGACAAUCAUAUUUUAUUUGCCUUUUCUAAACAUGGUAAAAUUUUUAAAACAAUAGAGGUAUUUUUAGGCUUUAUAUAAAAAUUGUAAUAUUUUAAUUGAAAUUCUGUUAAAAAUAUUCGUAUCGAUUUUAUGAACCAGAACUUUAGACAAAAAAUUUAUAAUUACCUUUUCUAGACGUGGUGAAAUUUAAAAAAAAUUUAAGUCAAUUUUUAGUCUAUUUAUAGACAUUUUAAUUUUGAGAGUUUUAUAAGUAAUUUUUAUUCGGUUGGUACUGUGUGGUAAAAUUGUUAGACUAAAUAGAAAUGCGUGAACAUUUAAAGGGAAGUUCAUUAAAAGUCUUAUUUUGUUUUUUUAUUUUUAAAUUUUGUUAUUUGUUGUAAUUUAGUUAAAAAUAUUCGUAGAACAUUUGGACAGAAAAUUUAUAUUUACCUUUUCUAGACGUGGUAAAAUUUUAGCCAUUUUUGAGCGCGUAAUUUUUAGUCGGUAGGUAAUAAAAAUUGCUUUAAACAGAGGAUAUCGGGAAAUUUACGAAAUUAAUGCUUUUUAUUAGUUUACAUUUUGUUAUUUUUUGUAAUUCAGAUAAAAAGAGACUUGACAUUUGGACAGAAAACUUAUAUUGGUCUUUUUUAGACCUGGUAAAACUGUAUAAAUAUUUGAGCCCAUAUUUGAGCCACCUAUAUAUAGACAUUUUAAUUUUGUGAGUAAUUUUCAUUUGGUUGGUACUCCGUGAAUAAAAUUGUUAGGCUACACAGAAAUGCUUGAAAAUUGAACAGGAAAUUAAUUAUAAGUCGCGUUAUUUUUUUUUAACCUGUACAUCUGAUAUUUUACUUUAAAUAUUUUUUAACUAAAAACUUUCUUCACCUAAUAGAAUUUCGAAAUAUCGAAUUGAAUCGUUCCAUUAUCUCGAAAAUGAAAAAAAUGUACUACCUACUACGCUCCUUGUUCCUUGUGCCUUUCAUAGACUUUAUUAAAACUGAAGCUGCUAAAGUUCAUUCAAAUAUCUAAUAAAAUUAAUACAAUAUAAUAAUUAUAAUUAAUAUAAUUAUACAAUAUUAAUACAAUUAUUACCAAUAUCAAGGGCCUAUUUAUGGCCCGAAAUUUCAAGAAAAUUUGUUUAAAUUUGCUUAUGUCCUAUUAGAUGUAAAUUGUAAAAAUUCAAUAUAAUAUUGUAUUAAAAAUGUUAGUAACAAGAUAUUCAUGUAAUGUAGUAGUAUGUCCAAUAAUUUUGAUCGUAACAAUCACGACUUUUAGUCCGGUACAUAUAGUACUAUUGACUUGUAAUCUAUGAGAGAACGUAAUUUGACGUGCGGUACUGCUACAUUAUCGUAACUUUAAUUUGUUUUACCCAGAAUCGAUUGACUGAUACACAUACGUCUCCGUCACCACGCAGUCAGCAUGCGAGUUAAAAAUAAUUCCGAGUAGUUGACUUUAUUAUCGCCGAAAAGUCGUGACGGCGACGAUCGGUAACAUGAUGGUCAGUUUUCGUCGUAUAGUUUUUAUCGCUUUUAUAGUUUAUUGUUAGGUACUAUUUGUUGUCCGAUAAAUGCGUGGGCUAAUUACCCAACUUAAAUGAUAUUAUUGAAACAGAGUAUGAGCUAAGUGGGAAAAUAUUGAAGUAAACUACAACUGCUAUAAAGGCUUUAAGUGCUUGAGAUAAUUUAAUGCACCCAAAAAUGUAUAAGUUACUAAAAAUACUAGCUAUUCUAGUAUCCACCUAGAAGUAGCUACCAGUACUACCAGUAGCUACUGCUGAACGCAGCUUUUCGACGUUGAGAAGAUUCAAAACGUAUCUAAAAAAUACAAACUCAGAAUCUAGGCCAGUGGGACUUGCAUUUUUAGCAAUUCAUCGAGACAUUGAUAGGUACACGAUGAAAUGUUAUUAGACAAAUUUGCCAACAGUGGCAAGGAAAAAAAAAUUUUAAUUUAAUAUAAUUUGUUACAUUACCAUUAAUAUUAUAAUUAUUAUGUAUUCUAUUUGUUUAUUAAUUUUGUGAAAAUAUUUAAGACUAUAAACAAAAUUAAAAUUGUUUAGUAAAUUUCUUAUUCUUGUUUUUAAUAUGUUGAAUUUGGGAAUUUACCUUGGAGAAAAUACCCAACCUCUCCUAAUAAAUAUCUAAAUACGCCCCUAACCUAGGGGUACCAUUUCAGUUUUAAAAUAGGGCUACCAAAUUUUUAAUCAGGUCAAAUUUAUCCACCACCAGACCACAGUUGAUAACAGUGAAAUUUAGGAGUCAUUUAAGACUUACUAGAGAUGAAUUCAUCUAAAAGCAAAAAGCUUUUUUCAUUUGCAAAAAGCCUACAAUAAUUAAAGUAGAACCAUGUAUACUUAUGAAUUUCUAUCUCUUAAAUUAAAUCAGCAAGCAUUUGUAUUUAUAUUGGCCAUUAUGUCAUUAUUUUGUUAUCAAUUAUUUAGAGAAUCGCACAUUUCUGAUUUUUGCUUUUGUCGAUAAAGGCCUCAACUCGUGUUGUUUCGUUUUGUAUGUUUUGAACACGACAGGUUCCUUUUUGAUUGCACGAAAUAAUUUGUUACCUAUCGUUCUACCAACAUAACCAUUUACCAUUCAUCACGUAUUUUACUUAAAAUAUAAUAUCAUUAUUAUAUUAUACCGACCUAUCAUUUAAUGAAUACUUAUUAUUGUUUUGCUAUCAGUAUUUCACUGUCUCGUCUGUUUUGUACUUAUUAAAUAUGAAAUGGAAUUAUGUAGCAAUUGUGAUAAAUAAUGAAUAUAAAUUACGAGUAGAGCAGUAAAAUGAGGAUAUAUUAUUCUGUUGAAUUUGGAAGAAAGUACAAGAUAAGUUUAAUUUUUUAUAGGGCGUAAUUUACCAUCACAGAGUUCAUAUUAAAUUAUUAAACGACUAAUUAAUUUACAUUAAUUUUAUUAUUAAAAAACGAAAAACACAAGGAAAAUAACUAGUUAUUAAUAAUAAAAUUAAUUCUGUUGUAAAUUUGUGAUCAUAAUAACUGAUAUGGCGUUAUCAGCUAUAGGUAACCAGCACGGCCACAAGUUGAAUUUAUUCAACUCUGCGGUAGCUGCGGUAACGUAUUGCCGUAUUGGUAAACACCACGAUUAAAUAUAUAUAGAUAUAUAGGUAGACACGAUCAAAAUGUAUACCACGAUAAUAUGAACCAGUCGGAGGAGAGUAUUUUACACGCAACAAAAUAAUACGACAAGUAGGGGAUUCCUCUUAACGCUCACUAUUGAUAGCUUAACGAAAUUAUUCGAUAAGUACUGUUAUCGAGUUACAGAAUUGAGUUUUAAUCGAGGUCCAUUGUGUUGUAUCACGUUUUUAUGCAUUCCAUUAUAUAUCAUUGAAUAUGUACGUUAAUAUUUUAAAGUAAUAGCACUGACAACAGGUAUAUAAAUUAACGAUAGUUCUAUUUUAAUUCUUGAAUAAAUAACACAUUCUUAGAAGUUACCUAAUAAAACAGUGAUAAAUAGAAUUUUUAAAUUUUAAACUAUGAUUAUAAUUUUACGACUAUCUAGUAAUGUCAACUACAAUAAAGAUUAAAAUAAUAUAUUAUUUUAAAAUAUUGUAAUUAUAUUUUAGCUGUAAGUAUCGGCGUCAAAAUAAAAUUGAGGCAGUCUAAUAUGAUACGGAAAAAAAUAGGACCGCCAAUGUAUAUCCUGUUAUACCCCAAAUGGCGCCCCUGCCUUGACCUAUAUAUUAUAUGGAUAUUUUUUUUAUUUUUGUCUAUUUUUGAUCCAUAACUUAUUGAUCCAAAAACUUAUUGAUCUCUAUAUUUUUCGUGGGUAUAGUUAUUUUUCUUAAAUCGUGUUUUUUACAAUACCUAUAACUUCUCAUCGAUCGAAUAUUGUCCAUUAUAGUUUCAAUAUGCCAGUAAUAAUAGUUAUAUUUUAUACUAUAUCUGAAAUUAAAUAUACUAAGCAAUCAUUUAUUAUCUACCAGUUAGGUUUUUUUUAACGUUAAUCAACAUUAUAUAUAAUAAAUGUAUGUGCACAUAUGUGUCAUGUAUGUAUGAAUGUAUAUAUGCAUGUAUGCUAAACUGGUCCUUGGUUAUAAAAGAAAUAAAAUUAAAAUUAUAAUUUUUGUUUCAGAGCUCCCCCUUCCUAUUUUUUCAUUACUCUAAAAAAAUAAUUUAGGUUAAAUUUGGUGAUGAUUACUCACCACUUUCUCGUGCCAUAAGAGGAUUGAAAUUUGAAAAAGAGUACAGUUUUAUAGUUUUUUGAGUUUAACUCAAAAUAUAUAGCACUUAACGCAUAAAUGUAUAAGACUUUAAUUGUAAAUUAUAGUUAAAAUAUUGCCUAUACAAAAUGUAUAUAUAAUUUCUCGUAAUAUAAUUAUAUCAUCUAUAAUAUUUUGUUACUGUUUUUAUUUUCUUGUUACCUGCAUGGGGGACAGAAAAUAUCGUUUUCAUAAAUACUUUUUAGUUAAUAGUUUAUUCUAUUUAUUUAUUUCUUAAAGUUUGUGUUUGUAUACAGUGCAAUAAAUAAUUGUGUACUUAUACCUACAAACAUAAUUAUAUUAUGCAAUGAUUGCCAUACAUUUUGUCAUUUAAAUUGUUGUGUUCGUUUCAUAGAAAAAAAAAAACCGACUGAGUAAAUUUCUCAAGUUGUUUUGCACAUUUAACUAGUGAUAAAAAAAAGUAUCCUUUAAUUUACUACCAUGUAAAUAUGGACUAUUCAAAUUGUCACUUUACUUUAAUCGGCUUAUUAGCUCUUUAAGAAUAAAUAUAAGAUAUGUGUAUUAUAAUACUUUUCGCCAAGUAGCCGAUAUAAUUCUGUUUGAAUUACGUAGCAUAUUUAUUGUUUUAAUAAUACAGGGUGAUGUCCUCUAAAGAUUCAUCCAAUUUCAGUAGGUUAUAUAUUUUGAACCUGUAGUCUUUGGUGAACCACCAACCACUUUAAAAAGUGGAUCGCCACGUUUUUUCCACUAUCAGUAAAUUUUGUUAAAGUGUACAAAGUGAGCAGAGUAAUGUUUAAUUUCGGGAGGGAGGGAGCUAAAAUAAUCAUUUAUUUAUUUUUUUAACAAUUAAGAGGUGCUAUGGUUGAUUUUGUUGGUUAUGUCCCUCUAGCUUCCGCCAAUCUCUGUCUAUGACUCAUUUUCAGAAAUACCUUUAUUUAAAAUUUUUGUGUAUAUUUUAUGUUCAUCAGGAUAACUCUUCCAGCAAAUAUUUUGUAUUGUUGUUUUAGAUACUUUGAAAUUUAUCCUUAUACAAAACUGGUGACGUAUACAUAGCCGUAAUAGAAGUUUUGUUUAUAAAUUAAUUUACGACCGUAUCGUUUUAUAUGAAAAUUGAAAAUUUUGGACGAUUUUGUAAUUUUUCCGUUUUCACCCGACUCACAGUUGUAUAUUUUGCAAAUAUAAUUAAGUCUCCACCGUCCAGCUUCUUUAAAUAUUUACAAUAUUAUUGUCAUCGUAUCGUGUCUGCGGAUAUUACAGGUUACUUAUUAUAUGAGUAUUACAAUGUAUAUAUGCGUAAUGUUAAUCGUUGUAAUUAUUAUUAUGUAAAGUCAACUAAGAUACUUCGUAUAAAGACAAACAAUAAGCAGAAUAUUAUGUAAUUUAUCUUGAACUAUAAUUAUAGCGUAAUUUUUAUUUGGAUACCAUUAUUCAGUAUUCAUUGACAUAAUUUAUUAUUAUCGAUUUUCAGUGUAUAAGGCGGUACUGUCGGUAAAUUUUGAAAUACAUAUAGAAACCUUUAAAUAAUACAAUUAAUAUCAUUGUUCCCAAGGAAGAAUGACUGAAGUUAAUUUUUGGUAUUUUUUUUUUACAAUUUUGUCUCAUGUAAUUUUUUUUCUCUUUAUUUUAGAUACUAGGUGAAGCGAAGAAGCUUUAAAUUUUACAAAGAUGUUUAUUUUAAUUUUUUUAUCUGAACAACUUUUCUACCAGAAAACUUUCUCAGAUUUUCAAGAGUAGCACCUUUUGUGAAAAGAGCGUGGAGAGGUACUUUAAGGAGGCCAUUUUUUGAUUUUCUCAGAAGUUUUUCCAUCAAUUUGUAUUUGGAAAACAGAAAAAAAACGGGAAAAUAUAAGAAAUGUUGGUAUUAGUUAAAAUAUAUAUUACGGCUUUCUUUCUUUCUGUGCACAACUUUUCUACCAGCAAUUUUGCUCCAAAUUUUAAUGACAGUAAUGUUUCUAAAAUAAAAUUUCACUUAGGAGGUAUUUUAAAGAGGUAAUUUUUUGAUUUUUCCAAUAAUGUUCUCAAAAAGUGUAAAAAACCAAGAUAAAAAAUGAGAAAAAUGGGAAAAACGUAGGAAAAUUGGGAAAAUCGGUACACAUUAAACAAGUAUUAUUAAAGAAAAUUUAUAAAGCCUUAUUAAUUAUUUUACUAUAAAAUCACAUAUAUAUAUAUUGUUGAAAAUACAUCACUAUCAAAUGAACUCAUCUCAAAAUGGUAUAAAUGAUUUAUCGUUGCUUACAAGUAUACAUUAAAUUAUCUAUAAUAGUGGCUGCACCUGUCUCCAUUUUAGAACGUCUUUUUUUGGUCCGAGUGGUAUAAGAGUAGAUAAUGUAUGUAUUAUUAUAUUAUAUUUUAAUACAUGUUGUGUUGAAAAUUAAAAUAUCUUAAGUUACUAUAUAAAAUUAUAAUGUACUUUUUGUUUGACAAGAGGCAUACCGACAUAUGUUGUGUUUAUUACACAUAUCUAGGUAGAAAUUUAGUUAUUUUUCAAUAAUUAUGUUAUUAUGUCAUUUAGCUAUUCUCCAAAUUUAAAUUGCUUGUAUUGAAAACUGUCCUAAGCCGGUCUAUUUUCCUGGUAUUAAAAAUGUAUAAUAUCAGAUAAACUGGAAAUUUACAAGCAGUGUCAUGUAUGAGAAAAAAUUUACGAGAUGUUAGUUCAAAUUUAUAUUAAAUAACCUUUAAGUACACUCUCUAAUUUUUAGUUCAAACUUAUAAACACAAUGUUUGACUAGAAAAAAAAUGUCGUGGGAUUUUCAGACCCCUGAAUCUACACUAUAUUCAGAGACGUUUUUACUCACAAAAAUUAUACAUAACUAAUAAUAAAUUAACCGAUUACCAGUAGGUAGCUAAUAUACCUAUAUUAUUAGUCAAUAUUAUUUUUCAUAUCAUCGCGUUUAUAAUAGUGUUAUUAGUCAACCUCCAAAAUCGGUAUUUUUUUUUUACAUGUCUACCUUGAAAAAUGUUAAAAUUAUACAGGUAUUGUUAUUUUUGUGUCGUAAUCGUCCGCGGUUUUAAAUUUAAUUAUUUCGUUAUACCUAAUGUAUAUCGACUUUUCAAUGUUAUCCAUAUUAAACCUUUGGUGAAAUUUUGCUAUCUGUUGCAGUAAUAAUUUCGAAGAAAAAAAUGGUAUUCAUUAAUAUGAUAAUAAUUAUCUAUUCGGUCGAUCAAGUAGAUUUCAAUAUUAAGAAAUUAUAAAAAAAAAUAAAACAAUGUCGAUUGAACACGAAGGAGAAAACUUUUAAUAUACAUACAUUUAAUCUAUGAUUUUUUUUCUUUUCAUAAUUUUCGAACACCUGCAUUUUAAAAAUAAAUACAAAAAUACAGCUGUUAAUACCUAUACGUAUAGUAAUUGUAAUUGAUAACUACAACGAAUAAUUAUAAUAAUAAUAAAACCGCUUAACGCUCGACCUUCAAAAUUAUUAUAUAUUUCAAACAUUUGUAUUUGUUAAAUUUUGCGUCGCGACCUCGCGGCCGGGUCUAUGACUUGAAUAAUUUUAACAACACACGUGACUGAACAUAAUAUUAAUGUAUCUAUCUACCUAAUAAAUUAUAAAAAAUACAUAACCACUCUAUAUUUUAAAAACCAUUCGUUCAUCAUGUCAUUAGAAAUUAUAGUCAAUUAUUUAAAGAAUUGUACAGUAGUAACAUAAUAUGUGCACUGUGUACAUGCUGAAUGAGAUUCGUACAAUAUAUACUAUGUAAAAUAUUAACUACCUAUCCGAGUUUCAAUGACUCGCGCGACGAGAUUCACUGUAAUAAUAUAUUUUACAUGUUAAGAAUUUUGUAGACACAACUAUUAUCGUGUAUGAAAAUUAUUGACCCCGCGAAAUAUAAAUAAUAUAAUAUAUUUCACUCGCAGUCUCAUUCCGCGUAAUUGCAAUUCUAUUGAAAUAACUUAAGAUUUGUGUCUAAUUCCGUCCAAAAUAAAGACUAUUGUGCUCUGUAUUGUGUCAGUUAUUUUUUUUCUCUUUCUCCAGUUUUUCAAAAGUCAUUAGGGCUCAUUACUGCAACAUAUACUUACUUCUAUGAGCGUUAUCAUGGGAGAGGGAAUAUGGUUAAUGGAUCCCCAAUGGCCUUUUUUUAAAAAAUUAAAAUUAAUUUUCAUUUUAACUGCUAUUUUGACUAGGAGUGGUGUAUUAAGCCGAGAAAUAAAUAAGAAAAUUCCUGCUGCUGAUUAUAAAAAACUUCUUUUACAAGAUGUUAGUUAUUUUGUCACGAAAAAUUCGAUGAGCCUUUUCAAUUAUUUUAAACUGAAACUGAAAGUUUUUUAAAAAAUCUUGAUGAAUGGAAGCAGGACGUAAGUUACAAAGAAUAUUUAGAUAUAUUAAAAGAAUUUAAAGUUGUAAAUGAUGUUGCUAAGAGAGAAGUAAGUCUCAUGCAAGAGUUCAAUAACUGUCUUACACGAUAUGAAGAGCAGCAUUAGUUCAUUCUUCAGUUUGUAAAUCAUACCUGAAAAUAUAACCCAAAUGUACAUAAAAAAAUGUACAAAAAUGAUUAUAUACAUCAGUUUUUUUACAGAUAAUUUGGUUUCUUACUUUAUUUUGUUUAAAACUAUUUAAAGAUGCUUUCAAUUCUAAGUUCUUUCGAUUACUUAUUUUAUCACUCGAUUGUUUUUUUUUUUUAUCAAAAAUGCAGAUUUUUUUUAAAUUUUCAACUAAUUAUAGUUUGCUAAUCAAUAACCAAAAACCGAUAUUAAGGUAUUUUCAUAACUUACAAAAUGAACCUUAUUCGAACAUUUUUGGUCGAAAAGUGACUGAAUUAUGUAACUUUAUCCGAAUAAAAACGUUAUAAAACUCAAUUUUGAUAGAUUUCUACGAAUGAGUUAUUUUUAUAACAGUAAAAUUUCACUUGAUUUCUUAUGUAUUCUUUUGUGAUCUUUAAGAAAAAACUAUGUUUACGAUCUCAUAACUUUUGAACUAGAUGAAUAAAUGCGAUUUAAUUGAAAGUAUCUUUAGUUUCCUAUAUGUAUUAUUUAAAUGAAAAAACUAAAUAUGUUGAGCAAGUUCUACACAUUUCUUUUUUGAGCUCAAAUUUUGUUUUUGAUUAACUUUGAGACCACAAGGAAACAAUUUCCAAUCUUAAUUAAAAAAAAAAAAUUCAAUUUCAAAUCAGCAAAAUAUAUAUAAUUUAUACAUGUAUAAUGUAUAUAUAAAGUUUUUGUGAUAGUAUUUUAUCGUCAUAAUAUUCAGUUAUUUAUUGUUUUGCAAAAAAAUGUUUCUGUAAUGCAAAAUAGGUGGUAAAAUAUUUGACUCUAACGACGGAGUUUUGCUGCUCAUUUAUGUUUUUUUUUCAGUUUUCUAUCUAAACAAGUUUACUUGAUACUUUUAUUUAAUCGUUUAUUUGUUUCGUCUUUAUAGAGCUAUGCGGUGGAGUGCGUUUAUAAGUAUCCAACGAGAGUUCGAGUCGUCGAAGUGGGACCGAGAGACGGACUCCAAAACGAAUCUAAAAUCAUACCGACGGACGUUAAAGUAGAGUUCAUCAACAGACUAUCCGCGACCGGACUUAAAAAUGUUGAAGCUACUAGGUACAUUUUGAGUAAAAUCCGAGUGUUUUUUUUCGUUUAUUCUAACAUUUAUUUUGAUACAAUUUUAGUUUCGUUUCACCGAAAUGGGUACCCCAAAUGGCCGAUCAUUCGGACGUAUACAGCAAAAUUAACAAAGUCCCCGGUGUCUCGUAUCCAGUUCUAGUGCCGAACAUGAGAGGUCUGCUUACAGCAGUACGUAUAUUAAAAUUAUUUGACGGUAAAAACAAUAAACAGUCACCUAUAAAUAGGAUAACUAUGUGCCUAAGAUCUAAAUAACACAAAAAGAAUCUAGUUGACAGGAGAUUUAAACUAUGGGAAAUAAUUUGCCUAUAAUUAUUAUAGUUGCUAAAGAGAUCUAAAUCACUUAGAUUCCCAGUUAGCUAGAUCCUCAUGAGUCAAUUAGUUCCUCACGAGAUGUAUAAUUAACCUGGGAUUUAUAGUUUACCAAAGACCGCGAUAUUUUUUUGCUAACGAAACCGUUUUUAUAGAUGCAACACGAUGUCAAAGAAAUCGCUGUAUUUGGAUCCGCCUCUGAAGGUUUUAGUCGAAAGAACAUCGGUUGCAGCGUAGCCGAGAGUCUUGAGAGAUUCGAAGACGUGGUAUCCACUGCUUUAGACCAUGGUAUCAAAGUCCGCGGAUACGUUUCCUGUGUUUGCGGAUGUCCGUACGAUGGAGCUGUGUCACCCCAAAACGUUGCGAGGGUAAAAUGAUACACCUUUAGUACCUUUUAUAUUCUUUAUAAGUUUC